rnacentral:tRNA from 1 species
GUGCGUGAGGCGACUGGUGGUUUGUCGCGCCGGCUUGUGAUGCCGGUAGUCGCGGGUUCGAUUCCCGUCACGCACC